rnacentral:rRNA from 1 species
UACGAAGGGGGCUAGCGUUGUUCGGAAUUACUGGGCGUAAAGCGCACGUAGGCGGAUACGUUAAGUCAGGGGUGAAAUCCCGGGGCUCAACCCCGGGAACUGCCUUUGAUACUGGGGUAUCUCGAGUCCGGAAGAGGUGAGUGGGAAUUCCGAGUGUAGAGGUGAAAUGCGUAGAUAUCGAGAGGAACACCUGCGGCGAAGGCGGGUGCUGGGCUGACACUGACGCUGAGGCGCGAAAGCCAGGGGAGCGAACGGG